rnacentral:rRNA from 1 species
CAGGCUUAACACAUGCAAGUCGAGGGGCAGCAUGGUCUUAGCUUGCUAAGGCCGAUGGCGACCGGCGCACGGGUGAGUAACACGUAUCCAACCUGCCGUCUACUCUUGGACAGCCUUCUGAAAGGAAGAUUAAUACAAGAUGGCAUCAUGAGUCCACAUGUUCACAUGAUUAAAGGUAUUCCGGUAGACGAUGGGGAUGCGUUCCAUUAGAUAGUAGGCGGGGUAACGGCCCACCUAGUCUUCGAUGGAUAGGGGUUCUGAGAGGAAGGUCCCCCACAUUGGAACUGAGACACGGUCCAAACUCCUACGAGAGGCAGCAGUGAGGAAUAUUGGUCAAUGGGCGAGAGCCUGAACCAGCCAAGUAGCGUGAAGGAUGACUGCCCUAUGGGUUGUAAACUUCUUUUAUAAAGGAAUAAAGUCGGGUAUGCAUACCCGUUUGCAUGUACUUUAUGAAUAAGGAUCGGCUAACUCCGUGCCAGCAGCCGCGGUAAUACGGAGGAUCCGAGCGUUAUCCGGAUUUAUUGGGUUUAAAGGGAGCGUAGAUGGAUGUUUAAGUCAGUUGUGAAAGUUUGCGGCUCAACCGUAAAAUUGCAGUUGAUACUGGAUAUCUUGAGUGCAGUUGAGGCAGGCGGAAUUCGUGGUGUAGCGGUGAAAUGCUUAGAUAUCACGAAGAACUCCGAUUGCGAAGGCAGCCUGCUAAGCUGCAACUGACAUUGAGGCUCGAAAGUGUGGGUAUCAAACAGGAUUAGAUACCCUGGUAGUCCACACGGUAAACGAUGAAUACUCGCUGUUUGCGAUAUACUGCAAGCGGCCAAGCGAAAGCGUUAAGUAUUCCACCUGGGGAGUACGCCGGCAACGGUGAAACUCAAAGGAAUUGACGGGGGCCCGCACAAGCGGAGGAACAUGUGGUUUAAUUCGAUGAUACGCGAGGAACCUUACCCGGGCUUAAAUUGCAGAUGAAUUACGGUGAAAGCCGUAAGCCGCAAGGCAUCUGUGAAGGUGCUGCAUGGUUGUCGUCAGCUCGUGCCGUGAGGUGUCGGCUUAAGUGCCAUAACGAGCGCAACCCUUGUUGUCAGUUACUAACAGGUUCCGCUGAGGACUCUGACAAGACUGCCAUCGUAAGAUGUGAGGAAGGUGGGGAUGACGUCAAAUCAGCACGGCCCUUACGUCCGGGGCUACACACGUGUUACAAUGGGGGGUACAGAGGGCCGCUACCACGCGAGUGGAUGCCAAUCCCAAAAACCUCUCUCAGUUCGGACUGGAGUCUGCAACCCGACUCCACGAAGCUGGAUUCGCUAGUAAUCGCGCAUCAGCCACGGCGCGGUGAAUACGUUCCCGGGCCUUGUACACACCGCCCGUCAAGCCAUGGGAGCCGGGGGUACCUGAAGUGCGUAACCGCGAGGAGCGCCCUAGGGUAAAACUGGUGACUGGGGC